rnacentral:lncRNA from 1 species
UCUUCCCCAUCCUCUCUUAGCCCCAGGUCUUGCUGUCGACCACCAGCUUUGCCGUAAAAAUCAAGAAAAGAAGAACUCCUCUUUUUCUCUAUUUUGAAGAAGUCUUCUCUCUCUUUUUUCUGGCCACCAGCACGGUCGCCCAUGGUGCCGCACCUCUGGAUCGUGACCCCCACCUAUCUGCUACCUUCUCUGAAGGUCUUGGCCAUCA